rnacentral:rRNA from 1 species
UACGGGGGGAGCAAGCGUUGUUCGGAUUUACUGGGCGUAAAGGGCGCGUAGGCGGUCAGCACAAGUCAGUUGUGAAAUCUCCGGGCUUAACUCGGAAAGGUCAACUGAUACUGUGCGACUAGAGUGCGGAAAGGGCAACUGGAAUUCUCGGUGUAGUGGUGAAAUGCGUAGAUAUCGAGAGGAACACCUGCGGCGAAGGCGGGUUGCUGGGCCGACACUGACGCUGAUGCGCGAAAGCCAGGGGAGCGAACGGG